GCAUCAGUGUGGCGUAGUGGUAAGGUGCAGGACUCGUAAUUGACAGGUUGCGGGUUCGAUUCCCUGCUGGGGCG